rnacentral:rRNA from 1 species
AUCCUGGACAAUGGGGGCAACCCUGAUCCAGCCAUUUCGCGUGUGUGAUGAUGGCCUUCGUGUUGUAAAGCACUUUUUGCAGGAAAGAAAUCGCGCGGGCUAAUAUCCUGCGUGGAUGAUCGUACCUGCAGAAUAAGCACCGGCCAACUACGUGCCAGCAGCCGCGGGAAUACGUAGGGUCCAAGCGUUAAUCGGAAUUACGGGGCGUAAAGGGUGCGCAGGAGGUUCGGGAAGAAGGAUGUGAAAUCCCAGGGCUCAACCUUGGAAUGGCAUUCUUAACUACCGGGCUAGAGUGUGUCAGAGGGGGGUGGAAUUCCGCGUGUAGCAGUGAAAUGCGUAGAGAUGCGGAGGAACACCGAUGGCGAAGGCAGCCCCCUGGGAUAACACUGACGCUCAGGCACGAAAGCGUGGGUAGCAAACA